rnacentral:rRNA from 1 species
CCUACGGGAGGCUGCAGUGCGGAAUAUUGGUCAAUGGGCGCGAGCCUGAACCAGCCAAGUCGCGUGAGGGAUGACGGCCCUACGGGUUGUACACCUCUUUUGCCGGGGAGCAACGGGCGCCACGUGUGGUGCCACUGAGAGUACCCGGAGAAACAGCAUCGGCAAACCCCGUGCCAGCAGCCGCGGUAAUACGGAGGAUGCGAGCGUUAUCCGGAUUUAUUGGGUUUAAAGGGUGCGUAGGCGGCUCGUUAAGUCAGUGGUCAAAUUGAGGGGCUCAACCCCUGCGCGCCAUUGAAACUGGCGCUCUUGAGUGGAAGAGAGGUAUGCGGAAUGCGUGGUGUAGCGGUGAAAUGCAUAGAUAUCACGCAGAACCCCGAUUGCGAAGGCAGCAUGCCGGCUUCCGACUGACGCUGAAGCACGAAAGCGUGGGGAUCGAACAGGAUUAGAUACCCUUGUAGUC